UAGUGGGAAGUUUUGAAAGGUGUCUUUCCCUGAUACUGUUAGCUGAUAGUGGUCUAGUUGGAAGUUUUGAAAGGUGUCUUUCCCUGAUACUGUUAGCUGAUAGUGGUCUAGUGGGAAGUUUUGAAAGGUGUCUUUCCCUGAUACUGUUAGCUGAUAGUGGUCUAGUGGGAAGUUUUGAAAGGUGUCUUCCCCUGAUACUGUUAGCUGAUAGUGGUCUAGUGGGAAGUUUUGAAAGGUGUCUUUCCCUGAUACUGUUAGCUGAUAGUGGUCUAGUGGGAAGUUUUGAAAGGUGUCUGCCCCUGAUACUGUUAGCUGAUAGUGGUCUAGUGGGAAGUUUUGAAAGGUGUCUUUCCCUGAUACUGUUAGCUGAUAGUGGUCUAGUGGGAAGUUUUGAAAGGUGUCUUUCCCUGAUACUGUUAGCUGAUUGUGGUCUAGUGGGAAGUUUUGAAAGGUGUCUUUCCCUGAUAUUGUUAGCUGAUAGUGGUCUAAUUGGAAGUUUUGAAAGGUGUCUUUCCCUGAUACUGUUAGCUGAUAGUGGUCUAGUGGGAAGUUUUGAAAGGUGUCUUUCCCUGAUACUGUUAGCUGAUAGUGGUCUAGUGGGAAGUUUUGAAAGGUGUCUUUCCCUGAUACUGUUUGCUGAUAGUUGUUUUGAUAUUAUGAAGUGCAAAAACGAAAAAGGAUCAAGAUGUAGUUUAUUUUUUAAAAAAGGUACUUCCCUAAAAGGAUGUCUUAUAUUGUUCUAUAUUCUCUUGUAUGACAAUGUAAAAUAUAUGACAGUGAAGAAGCAAUGUAGAAGAAUAGCCUGUAUAUUUUAUACCUAAUAAGUAAAGAUUAUUGUCCGUCAUUUUCUGCCUCUUGUGUACUUGCAUUAUUAUCAAGAAUAUUUGCACAAAGAAAUAAUGCUGGUCUGUUGUUUUAAUAAAACAGGACAGUCGUGAUAGUUGAGGCAAUGAAAUAUAAUUCAUGUUUUUCUUCCUCUUUGUUCCUUUUGUAUUUUGUCAUAAACAUCCGUCUGUAAUGAAAUGAUGUCUGCCAAAUGCUACUUUAUGUGCCAAUCAAUUUUGCUUUUUUCUGUUUGUGAACAGCUAACCUUGCUAACAGGAAUACAUAACUGGGAGACAAUAAAACUGUUUCUAUUUA